UGCACCCUUAGAAGAUGGUGGCAGAAGGAACUGACAAACAGCUACCACAAAGCAGGAGAUGGAGCCCAGGAAUGAAAACCCAAACAGCUUCUGUACAAAGAGGAUUGACAUGAGACCUAGUUUGGUUAUUAUUCUCAGGAGAAGUGGCCCAUUUGCAGUCACAAUGUGCUCUGUAUCAGUGUCCGUGGAAACCACUGGAAGGAAAUGAAAGAUCACAAUCUUUAUCUCUAUGGACACAUUUUUCAAGAACAUGGAAAGAAGAGGGUAGCUUGUCACUG